rnacentral:rRNA from 1 species
AACGAACGCUGGCGGCAUGCCUAACACAUGCAAGUCGAACGAGACCUUCGGGUCUAGUGGCGCACGGGUGCGUAACGCGUGGGAAUCUGCCCUUGGGUUCGGAAUAACAGUGAGAAAUUACUGCUAAUACCGGAUGAUGUCUUCGGACCAAAGAUUUAUCGCCCAGGGAUGAGCCCGCGUAGGAUUAGCUAGUUGGUGGGGUAAUGGCCUACCAAGGCGACGAUCCUUAGCUGGUCUGAGAGGAUGAUCAGCCACACUGGGACUGAGACACGGCCCAGACUCCUACGGGAGGCAGCAGUGGGGAAUAUUGGACAAUGGGCGCAAGCCUGAUCCAGCAAUGCCGGGGGAGUGAUGAAGGCCGUAGGGUUGUAAAGCUCUUUUACCCGGGAUGAUAAUGACAGUACCGGGAGAAUAAGCACCGGCUAACUCCGUG